AUUGAACGCUGGCGGCAGGCCUAACACAUGCAAGUCGAGCGGUAGAGAGGUGCUUGCAUCUCUUGAGAGCGGCGGACGGGUGAGUAAUGCCUAGGAAUCUGCCUGGUGGUGGGGGGAUAACGUUCGGAAACGGACGCUAAUACCGCAUACGAUCUAUGGAUGAAAGCGGGGGAUCGCAAGACCUCGCGCGAUUGGAGCGGCCGAUAUCAGAUUAGGUAGUUGGUGUGGUAAAGGCUCACCAAGCCGACGAUCUGUAGCUGGUCUGAGAGGACGACCAGCCACACUGGGACUGAGACACGGCCCAGACUCCUACGGGAGGCAGCAGUGGGGAAUUUUGGACAAUGGGCGCAAGCCUGAUCCAGCAAUGCCGCGUGCAGGAUGAAGGCCUCGG
rnacentral:rRNA from 1 species